rnacentral:rRNA from 1 species
UACGGGGGGGCAAGCGUUGUUCGGAAUUACUGGGCGUAAAGGGCUCGUAGGCGGCCAACUAAGUCGGAUGUGAAAUCCCCAGGCUCAACCUGGGAACUGCAUCCGAUACUGGAUGGCUUGAAUUCGGGAGAGGGAUGCAGAAUUCCAGGUGUAGCGGUGAAAUGCGUAGAUAUCUGGAGGAAUACCGGUGGCGAAGGCGGCAUCCUGGACCGACAUUGACGCUGAUGAGCGAAAGCUAGGGGAGCGAACAGG